GGCGCAAGCCUGAUGGAGCAACACCGCGUUGAGUGAAGAAGGGUUUCGGCUCGUAAAGCUCUGUUGUUGGAGAAGAACGUGCGUGAGAGUAACUGUUCACGCAGUGACGGUAUCCAACCAGAAAGUCACGGCUAACUACGUGCCAGCAGCCGCGGUAAUACGUAGGUGGCAAGCGUUAUCCGGAUUUAUUGGGCGUAAAGCGAGCGCAGGCGGUUGCUUAGGUCUGAUGUGAAAGCCUUCGGCUUAACCGAAGAAGUGCAUCGGAAACCGGGCGACUUGAGUGCAGAAGAGGACAGUGGAACUCCAUGUGUAGCGGUGGAAUGCGUAGAUAUAUGGAAGAACAUCAGUGGCGAAGGCGGCUGUCUGGUCUGCAACUGACGCUGAGGCUCGAAAGCAUGGGUAGCGAACAGGAUUAGAUACCCUGGUAGUCCAUGCCGUAAACGAUGAGUGCUAGGUGUUGGAGGGUUUCCGCCCUUCAGUGCCGGAGCUAACGCAUUAAGCACUCCGCCUGGGGAGUACGACCGCAAGGUUGAAACUCAAAGGAAUUGACGGGGGCCCGCACAAGCGGUGGAGCAUGUGGUCUAAUUCGAAGCUACGCGAAGAACCUUACCAGGUCUUGACAUCUUGCGCUAACCUAAGAGAUUAGGCGUUCCCUUCGGGGACGCAAUGACAGGUGGUGCAUGGUCGUCGUCAGCUCGUGUCGUGAGAUGU
rnacentral:rRNA from 2 species